GUAGAGCACUGAAUAUGCGAUGGCCGCAUCCCGCGGUACUGAGCAUAAUCAAACUCCGAAUGUCACGGUGUCAUCUGCGGCAGUCAGACGGCGAGUGAUAAGGUCCGUCGUCAAGAGGGAAACAGCCCAGACCAUCAGCUAAGGUCCCAAAGUGCAUGCUAAGUGGAAAAGGAAGUGGAGACGUGCAGACAACUAGGAGGUUGGCUCAGAAGCAGCCAUCCUUCAAAGAGUGCGUAACAGCUCACUAGUCGAAUGACUCUGCGCCGAUAAUUUACCGGGGCUAAGCAUGACACCGAAGCUAUGGACAGGAAUGUGGUAGGGGAGCAUUGCAUGCAGCGGAGAAGCAUGACCGAGAGGGCAUGUGGAGCGCAUGGAAGAGAGAAUGCCGGCGUGAGUAGCGGCACGUGGGUGAGAAUCCCACGCACCGAUGGCCCAAGGUCUCCAGAGGAAGGCUCGUCCUCUCUGGGAUAGUCGGGACCUAAGGCGAGGCCGAAAGGCGUAGCCGAUGGACGACGGGUGGAUAUUCCCGUACCCGAUGUGUGGCGAUGGAGUGACGGAGAAGGCUCAGGCAACCAGCUGCUGGAAUAGCUGGGGCAAGCGAGAUACCUGCGCACCAGGGAAAUCCGGUGCGCGCAAGGGGAAGGCGCGAAGCAUACGGAAAGCUGCGGCAAGUACGGAAAAGCUGAGAGCAGGCUUCCAGGAAAAGCUUCUAGCACAACACGCAUCGGCCCGUACCGAAAAUGGACACACAUGGGCAAGGAGAGAAUCCUGAGGUGAGCGAGAGAACUAUAGCUAAGGAACUCUGCAAAAUGACCCCGUAACUUAGGGAGAAGGGGUGCUCCAGAAAUGGAGCCGCAGUAAAACGGCCCAAGCGACUGUUUACCAAAAACACAGCUCUCUGCGAAGGCGCAAGCCGAAGUAUAGGGGGUGACGCCUGCCCGGUGCUGGAAGGUCAAGGGGAGCUGUCAGCGCAAGCGAAGCAGCGAGCCGAAGCCCCAGUAAACGGCGGCCGUAACUAUAACGGUCCUAAGGUAGCGAAAUUCCUUGUCGGGCAAGUUCCGACCCGCACGAAAGGCGUAACGAUUUGGGCGCUGUCUCAGCUGUAGACUCGGUGAAGUCUUAGUACCUGUGAAGAUGCAGGUUGCCCGCGACUAGACGGAAAGACCCCAUGGAGCUUCACUGCAGGUUGACAUUGGGCUUGGAUGCAUGAUGUACAGGAUAGGUGGGAGGCUGUGAGCCGUGCGCGCCAGCGUACGGGGAGCCGCUGUUGGGAUACCACCCUUCAUGCAUCUAGGUCCUAACCGGAGGCAACGGGCCACGGGACAGUGUCAGUCGGGCAGUUUGACUGGGGCGGUCGCCUCCCAAAGAGUAACGGAGGCGCCCAAAGAUACCCUCAGCAUGGAUGGAAACCAUGCAUAGAGUGCAAAGGCAUAAGGGUGUCUGACUGCGAGACAUACAGGUCGAGCAGGGACGAAAGUCGGGCUUAGUGAUCCGGCGGAUCCGAAUGGAAGGGCCGUCGCUCAACGGAUAAAAGCUACCCUGGGGAUAACAGGCUGAUCUCCCCCAAGAGUUCACAUCGACGGGGAGGUUUGGCACCUCGAUGUCGGCUCAUCGCAUCCUGGAGCUGAAGUCGGUUCCAAGGGUUGGGCUGUUCGCCCAUUAAAGCGGUACGCGAGCUGGGUUCAGAACGUCGUGAGACAGUUCGGUCCCUAUCUGUCGUGGGCGCAGGAGGUUUGAGGAGAGCUGCCCCUAGUACGAGAGGACCGGGGUGGACGGACCGAUGGUGCACCAGUUGUCACGCCAGUGGCACAGCUGGGCAGCCAAGUCCGGACGGGAUAAGCGCUGAAGGCAUCUAAGCGUGAAGCCCCCUCCAAGAUGAGACCUCCCAUUGGCGACAAGUAAGGCCCCUCGAAGACGACGAGGUUGAUAGGCCGCGAGUGCAAGCGCAGCGAUGUGCUUAGCGGGGCGGUACUAAUAGGCCGAGGACUUGGCCAA
rnacentral:rRNA from 1 species